rnacentral:rRNA from 1 species
CAGCAGCCGCGGGAAUACGAAGGGGGCUAGCGUUGCUCGGAAUGACUGGGCGUAAAGGGCGCGUAGGCGGCGAUCAAAGUCAGGCGUGAAAUUCCUGGGCUCAACCUGGGGGCUGCGCUUGAUACUUGGUUGCUUGAGUGGGGAAGAGGGUCGUGGAAUUCCCAGUGUAGAGGUGAAAUUCGUAGAUAUUGGGAAGAACACCGGUGGCGAAGGCGGCGACCUGGUCCUUGACUGACGCUGAGGCGCGAAAGCGUGGGGAGCAAACAGGAUUAGAUACCCGGGUAGUCCCUGUCUCUUAUAA